AUGCUUGAAGUCACAGAGCAAAGGAAAUUGCAGGAAGUGAGUGAUGCAGACCAAGAGUGCCCUGGGUCCGCUCUGCAGUUCUUGGCGUGCAGGGCUGGGCUCUCCUUGGGCAGACACAAGAGCGGCUUUGCCAGUGGGUUCAUUUCCUGCCACCCAGCUGAACAAAGUUCUGCUUUUUGUAUUCGAAUGGUGGUUGGUCCUCAGUGUGACUGCUGGGACUGCCCUGCCUGCCACCACAACUUCUCUGUGAACUCCUUGGUUUCCAGUGUCACAAACCGAUCGUUUCCAAACUUUGCUUUACAGAUGUAUCAAGUGGCGUGGCACUGCUGGCGCAACCACGCUGAGACGAAUGGUUGUGCCAGAAGAUAACUUGACCUUAAAUUUCCUCCUCCUCAUUUCCAUCAGCCAAAAUCAGCUUCGUCCAACUGCACACUUGGGAUUUUGUUGCACUUCGGCUUAAUGAUGUGUGCCGGGAGUGACCUGCUCUAGCAGGAUGGCUUCUUCCUCUCCUGGCGCCAGCCCCGCGCUGUGACUGCCCGUGGCUUUGCUUUUCACUGGAGCCAGGGGAAGCCAGCGCCAUGCUCACCAGCCUGAUGUGCAGGGCCCCUCUGCCCUGUGUGUACAUCUGAGCAUUGCUCUUUGCUGUCCUUGCAUCUGCCUUCAGCACCUGGGCUGCUUUUGCACUGACUCAUGCCUCUUCUGUCCACUGCUUGGUGCUCUCCUUACGCACUUUGUUUGACCAGGUCAGGUACACAUCAACAACUCUUUCCAAAAUCCAACCUGCUUCUCACAAUGGGCUUGUUUUGCACUGGCGAAUCACUCAUUACACAGAUAAUUCAUCCACAAAAAUGAGCUCACCUUCAGCUUUCCAGAGGGCAGCUGUGAUCAGCAGGUCCCUGGUGGGCAGUGGCACCAGCUGGGUGCUCUGCCUUGCAGCUGGCCAAGGGGUGAGUCUGCUGCUCGUGCUCUGUGCUCUCCGUGCUCUAUCCCCUCAGGACUCUCUCCUUCCCUGCAUGCUGAUGUGCAGUGUAGAGCACCAACAUGCAAGGAAGGAUUAAGACAGGAUCCCAGGUGCCACGAUCGCCACUCCCCAGGGCUGCAUCCCUCCAGAACUGGACGAGGUGGUAUCAGCACACAGUGGCACGGGGGUGGCAGCCAGCAGUGUGCUGCUGUGCAGAGCGGGGCAGCCGCUCAGCUCCCACGGAUGGGCGCCUGCCCAAGCUGAGCAAACACAGUUUUGAUGGAGGAAUGCUGUUAAAACAUCUGCCAAGAAAGCAGGAGAAAUUCUUACUGUGAGCCAGCUAUUUCUGCUCUGGUUGCUGUUCGCAGCAGCAAAAUCGUGUGGGUUGGUGGCAGCCAGGACCUGACCAUUUAUGCACUUGCAGUACUGUUUGAUUGCAUCUGCGGGGGGUUGGAAAUGGUCAUUUCUAGGCAUCCAGCCUUCACACAAACUCCAGUGUAAGAAACAUGGUGCUCAGGAUACAUUUGCAAAGUGUUCUAAAGCCCAAGCCUCAUCCCCAUGCCACCAUAGGCAGACUUGGAGAUUGUGGGAACAAUAAACUCCGUGGCAGAAAAGACA
rnacentral:lncRNA from 1 species